rnacentral:rRNA from 1 species
AACGAGCGCAACCCCUACUUGUUAGUUGCCAUCAUUCAGUUGGGCACUCUAGCGAGACUGCCGGUAAUAAACCGGAGGAAGGUGGGGAUGACGUCAAAUCAUCAUGCCCCUUAUGACCUGGGCUACACACGUGCUACAAUGGUUGGUACAACGAGUUGCGAGUCGGUGACGGCGAGCUAAUCUCUUAAAGCCAAUCUCAGUUCGGAUUGUAGGCUGCAACUCGCCUACAUGAAGUCGGAAUCGCUAGUAAUCGCGGAUCAGCACGCCGCGGUGAACUACGCUCCCGGGCCUU